GAUGAACGCUAGCGGCGGGCCUAACACAUGCAAGUCGAGGGGCAGCACAGAAACAGCAAUGUUUUGGUGGCGACCGGCGGACGGGUGCGUAACGCGUAUGCAACCUACCUUUAACAGGGGGAUAACGGAGAGAAAUUUCCAAUAAUACCCCAUAACAUCGAUCAAGGCAUCUUGAAUGGUUGAAAACUCCGGUGGUUAAAGAUGGGCAUGCGUUGUAUUAGGUAGUUGGUGAGGUAAUGGCUAACCAAGCCUACGAUACAUAGGGGGACUGAGAGGUUAGCCCCCCACACUGGUACUGAGACACGGACCAGACUCCUACGGGAGGCAGCAGUGAGGAAUAUUGGUCAAUGGGGGCAACCCUGAACCAGCCAUGCCGCGUGCAGGAAGACGGCUCUAUGAGUUGUAAACUGCUUUUAAACAGGGAUAAAGCACAGUAUGUAUACUGUGUUGAAGGUACUGUAAGAAUAAGGAUCGGCUAACUCCGUGCCAGCCGCCGCAGUAA
rnacentral:rRNA from 1 species